rnacentral:rRNA from 1 species
GUAAUAGUGUACCUUUUGCACAAGGGUCCAACAAGUUAAUUUGUAUAGCAAGUCAAAAUGAGACGUAAAGAAAUUAAGUUUGAAACAUAGCGUAUAGUUAUACGAAUUAAACCCGAAACCAAAGGAUUUAACCGUGAACAAGCUGAAAAUAAGUUUUAUUGGAGGGCUGAACCAAUAUUUGUUGCAAUAAAUUUGGAUGAUUUACGGUUCGGAGUGAAAAGCUAAUCGACUUUGGUGAUAGCUGGUUUUCUGCGAAAACUAUUUAGGUAGUGUGUUAUUAAUAAAUAAUAAAUUAGGUAAAGUACUUAUUAAUCUAGGGGGAAUUUUUAAUUUCUUUGAAGUUAGUAAAACUAAAAUGAAUUUAUAUUAAAUUGGUAGCAGACAGACAUAUGACGCGAAGGCCAUAUGUCAAAAGGGAAACAGCCCAGACCAUAAGCUAAAGUCCCUAAUUCAAUAUUAAGUGAAAAGGUUUUUUAAAUAGUAUUCAUUAGUAAGUUUAGCUUAGAGGCAGCAAUCUUUUAAAAGUAAAGACGUAACAGCUCGCUAAU